CGGACGGGUGAGUAAUGUCUGGGAAACUGCCCGAUGGAGGGGGAUAACUACUGGAAACGGUAGCUAAUAUCGCAUAACGUCGCAAGACCAAAGAGGGGGACCUUCGGGCCUCUUGCCAUCGGAUGUGCCCAGAUGGGAUUAGCUAGUAGGUGGGGUAACGGCUCACCUAGGCGACGAUCCCUAGCUGGUCUGAGAGGAUGACCAGCCACACUGGAACUGAGACACGGUCCAG
rnacentral:rRNA from 1 species